rnacentral:tRNA from 1 species
AGAGACUUAGGCUAACAUA